rnacentral:rRNA from 1 species
AACUAUGAUCAUGUCUCGGAAGCUAAGCAGGGUCGGGCCUGGUUAGUACUUGGAUGGGAGACCACCUAGGAAGACCAGGUGCUGUAGGCG